rnacentral:rRNA from 1 species
UACGUAGGGUGCGAGCGUUAAUCGGAAUUACUGGGCGUAAAGCGUGCGCAGGCGGUUCGCCAAGUCAGGUGUGAAAUCCCCGGGCUUAACCUGGGAAUUGCGCUUGAAACUAGCGAGCUUGAGUGUGGCAGAGGGGGGUGGAAUUCCACGUGUAGCAGUGAAAUGCGUAGAGAUGUGGAGGAACACCGAUGGCGAAGGCAGCCCCCUGGGUCAACACUGACGCUCAUGCACGAAAGCGUGGGGAGCAAACAGG